rnacentral:lncRNA from 1 species
CGAGCGCGCUGGGGAGCGCAGCUGCAGGCGUUGGGGCGGCAGGAGCCGCGGAGCCGGCGCUGAGAGGGGCUGCGGCCGGAGCGGGCGGCUGAGACAAAGGCGACGAUAGGGCCAGAUUUGAGUGUGUGAAUUUUUGAGUGAAACCUGGAACCCAAAUGAGAAGAAAUCUGCAAGGAAUAACUACUGACAGUGAAUCUGCGGUCAUCUGUAUGCAUAAUAUGGAAUGUUCUUAACCCAGAAGUAGCUGAAUGUGUUACUCCAUUGCUGAGGAGUGAUAGAUUUUAGGCUGUUUCUUCAAAGUUUGCAGCAAAUUACCUGUUUUUGCUAUAGCAGAAUAAUGCUAUUUUGCCAUUUUAAUUCUCGUAACAAAAAAGCAUCUUAUAUCAAUACAAGACUAUCUGUUAUAGUCCCUGGGUCAAGACAACAAUUUUUAUACCUUCGUCGUGGUUCAGAAAGGAGUCUCUGUAGAACCAGAAGCAAAGAAAGGAAACAAUCCAAAUUUUUCUUUAUUAAAUCGACUGUGUAAGAUACUUGACUUCCAGGAACAAAAACACGGUGAAAUAAUAA